GGGGGCGGGGCCAGCGACAUCAAGUCUGAGGGGACAGAAGAGACAAUCAGCGCGGUGGAGAUUUAGAAGCAGAGUGAGGACUCACUGUUGGACGGAGGAUCUUUGCAUUCCCCCUCCUCGAUGGUGACGUCAUCGAUGGCGAUGUCUCCCUCGAUGCCGGCGCCGCGCACGCCCUCCAUCACCACCUGGCGUGGAGAACGCAGGGUGUGCACCAGUGACCAGGCAAAGAGUUUUUCUAAAGAUGAAUGACAACGUUGGACUAAGACGUGGGUCACCAGGUUCCCCCUUUGGAGCCAGGCCUGGGGGCGAGGCUCAUGGAGACCACGGGGAAGACCCAGGACACGGUGGAGAGACUAUGUCUCCCAACUAGCCUGGGAACACCUCUGGAUCACCCGGGAGGCCCUAUUCCUACUAUCUGGGGAAAG